rnacentral:rRNA from 1 species
UACAGAGGUCUCAAGCGUUGUUCGGAUUCAUUGGGCGUAAAGGGUGCGUAGGUGGCGGGGUAAGUCAGGUGUGAAAUCUCGGGGCUCAACCCCGAAACUGCAUUUGAUACUGCCUUGCUCGAGUACUGGAGAGGAGAUUGGAAUUUACGGUGUAGCAGUGAAAUGCGUAGAUAUCGUGAGGAAGACCAGUGGCGAAGGCGGAUCUCUGGACAGUUCCUGACGCUGAGGCGCGAAGGCCAGGGGAGCAAACGGG